CCCGGUGGAUUUAAGCAUAUCGAUAAGCGGAGGAAAAGAAACUAACGAGGAUUCCCCCAGUAGCGGCGAGCGAAGAGGGAAGAGCCCAGCACCGAAUCCCCGGAGCCGAGUGCUUCGUCGAGGAAAUGUGGUGUUCGAGUGGUCCCGCUUAUCCUGGGCGAUUCGGCCGGUGCGUUCAAGUCCACCUUGAAAGGGGCCACGGCCCAGAGAGGGUGCCAGGCCCGUAGAGACCGCUGCGCCCGCCCAGGAGGGGUCCACUCUAGAGUCGGGUUGCUUGGAAAUGCAGCCCUAAGCAGGUGGUAAACUCCAUCUAAGGCUAAAUACGACCACGAGACCGAUAGCGAACAAGUACCGUGAGGUAAAGUUGAAAAGAACUUUGAAGAGAGAGCUCAGCGAGUACGUGAAACCGUUCGGGGGUAAACGAACGAGACCCGAUGAACGCGUCGGCGAGGACUCAGUUUCGUGUCGGACCCGCGG
rnacentral:ncRNA from 1 species